UUCCUUCAAAAUACAGAGUUUUUCCCCCAAACACAAAUUACAUCGUUUUGAUCCUCCUGUAUAAGAAACAAGCGAGUUUUAUGUACUAACCAGGUCAUGUCGAAAUCUUGUUUGUUUUCUUUUAAAGUGCUUAUGAAACGAAAUUUUUGUCUCAUUUUUUAUUGUCUGAUUAAAAGGUAUUGCUUAAAUGAUGAAGAAUGACGUUUACUGUUUGUUCGUAUCUCAUCUCAUUCCCAAGUUAUCGCACUUUCUAUAUUUUGAGUUGUGACGUCACUAGUUUGACUCAAAAUAGUGGCAAUAACAAGAAAAUCUGAUAUCUUGAUGAUCAUUUAAUAAAAUUCACUGAAACUUGGCACACUUAGUGGGUGCAACGAAGUGAACAAUUUGGCGUGUUUAUAUGGUUGUUAUGGCAACACACUCGUCCCCAGUCCCUUCUCUUCCAAUUUCUCUAUGAUCCAUUUCCAACGAAAUAAAUAGUAAUUUCUGCAAUUGUCGCUUAUUACUAUCAUACGUGUAGGUAUUGUGAUCAGUUUAAACCGUUAUAACAUGCAAACAUCCUCUGCAAGAGGUCUACAGGAGGAAAUUUGUGAAAAAGAAGAGAAGAGACUGUGGACUAGUGUGUUGCCAUGACAACCACAUGACCAUCCAAAAAUAUUCAUAUGGGUGCACCCACUAAGUGUGCCGAGUUUCAUUGAAUUUUAUUAAAUACUCUCUAAAAUAUCAGACUUUCUUGUUAUUGCCAUUAUCUC